rnacentral:rRNA from 1 species
CCUACGGGAGGCAGCAGUGGGGAAUAUUGCGCAAUGGGGGAAACCCUGACGCAGCAACGCCGCGUGAGUGAGGAAGGACUUCGGUCUGUAAAGCUCUGUUAAUGUGGAAAAAUGGUAGUUGGUCUAAUAGGCCGAUUAUUUGAUGGUACACAUAGAGGAAGCACCGGCUAACUUCGUGCCAGCAGCCGCGGUAAUACGAAGGGUGCAAGCGUUGUUCGGAUUUAUUGGGCGUAAAGCGCGCGUAGGCGGACCUGCAAGUCAGAUGUGAAAUCUCGGGGCUCAACCUCGAAACUGCGUCUGAAACUACAGGUCUAGAAUCUUGGAGGGGGAAGGGGAAUUUCUCAUGUAGGGGUAAAAUCCGUAGAUAUGAGAAGGAACACCAGAGGCGAAGGCGCCUUCCUGGACAAGUAUUGACGCUGAGGCGCGAAAGCGUGGGGAUCAAACAGGAUUAGAUACCCUGGUAGUCCACGCUGUAAACGAUGAAUACUAGAUAUUGCAGGAUUUGACCCCAGCAGUGUCGUAGCUAACGCGUUAAGUAUUCCGCCUGGGAAGUACGGUCGCAAGACUAAAACUCAAAUGAAUUGACGG